UUGAACGCUGGCGGCAGGCCUAACACAUGCAAGUCGAACGGUAACAGGAAGCAGCUUGCUGCUUCGCUGACGAGUGGCGGCCGGGUGAGUAAUGUCUGGGAAGCUGCCUGAUGGAGGGGGAUAACUACUGGAAACGGUAGCUAAUACCGCAUAAUGUCGCAAGACCAAAGAGGGGGACCUUCGGGCCUCUUGCCAUCGGAUGUGCCCAGAUGGGAUUAGCUUGUUGGUGGGGUAACGGCUCACCAAGGCGACGAUCCCUAGCUGGUCUGAGAGGAUGACCAGCCACACUGGGACUGAGACACGGUCCAGACUCCUACGGGAGGCAGCAGUGGGGAAUAUUGCACAAUGGGCGCAAGCCUGAUGCAGCCAUGCCGCGUGUAUGAAGAAGGCCUUCGGGUUGUAAAGUACUUUCAGCGGGGAGGAAGGGAGUAAAGUUAAUACCUUUGCUCAUUGACGUUACCCGCAGAAGAAGCACCGGCUAACUCCGUG
rnacentral:rRNA from 1 species